rnacentral:rRNA from 1 species
AACGAACGCUGGCGGCAGGCUUAACACAUGCAAGUCGAGCGCCCCGCAAGGGGAGCGGCAGACGGGUGAGUAACGCGUGGGAAUCUACCCAUCUCUACGGAAUAACGCAUGGAAACGUGUGCUAAUACCGUAUACGUCCUUCGGGAGAAAGAUUUAUCGGAGAUGGAUGAGCCCGCGGUGGAUUAGCUAGUUGGUGGGGGAAAGGCCUACCAAGGCGACGAUCCAUAGCUGGUCUGAGAGGAGGAUCAGCCACACUGGGACUGAGACACGGCCCAGACUCCUACGGGAGGCAGCAGUGGGGAAUAUUGGACAAUGGGCGCAAGCCUGUUCCAGCCAUGCCGCGUGAGUGAUGAAGGCCCUAGGGUUGUAAAGCUCUUUCACCGGUGAAGAUAAUGACGGUAACCGGAGAAGAAGCCCCGGCUAACUUCGUGCCAGCAGCCGCGGUAACAC